GACGAACGCUGGCGGCGUGCUUAACACAUGCAAGUCGAACGGAAAGGCCCUGCUUUUGUGGGGUGCUCGAGUGGCGAACGGGGGAGUAACACGUGAGUAACCUGCCCUUGACUUUGGGAUAACUUCAGGAAACUGGGGCUAAUACAGGAUAGGAGCUCCUGCUGCAUGGGGGGGGUUGGAAAGAUUCGGCGGUGGGGGAUGGACUCGAGGCUUAUCAGCUUGUUGGUGGGGUAGUGGCUUACCAAGGCUUUGACGGGUAGCCGGCCUGAGAGGGUGACCGGCCACCAGGCGCCUGCGAUACGGCCCAGUCUCCUACGGGAGGCAGCAGUCGGGAAUAUUGCACAACGGGCGGAAGCCUGAUGCAGCAACGCCGCGUGCGGGAUGCCGGCCUUCGGGUUGUAAACCGCUUUCGCCUGUGACGAAGCGUGAGUGACGGUAAUGGGUAAAGAAGCACCGGCUAACUACGUG
rnacentral:rRNA from 1 species